rnacentral:rRNA from 1 species
ACGGUUACGGAAACGGACGACUAACUACCGCAGUACCUACCGUACGGAAGGAAGGGGGGAUCUUCGGACCUCUCGCUAUUAGAUGAGCCCAAGCGGGAUUAGCUAGUUGGUGAGGUAAUGGCUCACCAAGGCAACGAUCCCUAGCUGGUCUGAGAGGAUGAUCAGCCACACUGGAACUGAGACACGGUCCAGACUCCUACGGGAGGCAGCAGUGGGGAAUAUUGGACAAUGGGCGAAAGCCUGAUCCAGCCAUGCCGCGUGUGUGAAGAAGGCCUUAGGGUUGUAAAGCACUUUAAGCGAGGAGGAAGGUUCGUCACCUAAUACGUGGCGGAAUUGACGUUACUCGCAGAAUAAGCACCGGCUAACUCUGUG